GAGACACUCCUAUGGAGCAGGGCUUGCUUCAGUGGGGCUCUGGUCUCACUGAGUCUGCCCCUUGAGUGUGUCACU
rfam:Myotis lucifugus cont2.42218, whole genome shotgun sequence.